AGCAGCCGCGGUAAUUCCAGCUCCAAUAGCGUAUAUUAAAGUUGUUGCAGUUAAAAAGCUCGUAGUUGAAUUUCGGAAUCUGUCCAUUGGUCGGGCUUCACUGUCCGUACUGGUGUGGUGGGUUCUUACCUUCUGAAUAACCAGCAUGCCAUUUAUUUGGUGCGUUGGGGAAGCAGGACUAUUACCUUGAAAAAAUUAGAGUGCUCAAAGCAGGCUAGUGCCUGAAUACAUUAGCAUGGAAUAAUAAAAUAGGACGGCAUGGUUCUAUUUUGUUGGUUUCUAGGAUCACCGUAAUGAUUAAUAGGGAUAGUUGGGGGCAUUAGUAUUCAAUUGUCAGAGGUGAAAUUCUUGGAUUUAUUGAAGACUAACUUCUGCGAAAGCAUUUGCCAAGGAUGUUUUCAUUAAUCAAGAACGAAAGUUAGGGGAUCGAAGACGAUCAGAUACCGUCGUAGUCUUAACCAUAAACUAUGCCGACUAGGGAUCGGACGAUGUUAAUUUUUAAUGACUCGUUCGGCGCCUU
rnacentral:rRNA from 1 species